CCCGGCGAGGGGAGUGAAAAAGAACCUGAAACCGUGUACGUACAAGCAGUGGGAGCACGCUUAGGCGUGUGACUGCGUACCUUUUGUAUAAUGGGUCAGCGACUUAUAUUCUGUAGCAAGGUUAACCGAAUAGGGGAGCCGAAGGGAAACCGAGUCUUAACUGGGCGUUAAGUUGCAGGGUAUAGACCCGAAACCCGGUGAUCUAGCCAUGGGCAGGUUGAAGGUUGGGUAACACUAACUGGAGGACCGAACCGACUAAUGUUGAAAAAUUAGCGGAUGACUUGUGGCUGGGGGUGAAAGGCCAAUCAAACCGGGAGAUAGCUGGUUCUCCCCGAAAGCUAUUUAGGUAGCGCCUCGUGAAUUCAUCUCCGGGGGUAGAGCACUGUUUCGGCAAGGGGGUCAUCCCGACUUACCAACCCGAUGCAAACUGCGAAUACCGGAGAAUGUUAUCACGGGAGACACACGGCGGGUGCUAACGUCCGUCGUGAAGAGGGAAACAACCCAGACCGCCAGCUAAGGUCCCAAAGUCAUGGUUAAGUGGGAAACGAUGUGGGAAGGCCCAGACAGCCAGGAUGUUGGCUUAGAAGCAGCCAUCAUUUAAAGAAAGCGUAAUAGCUCACUGGUCGAGUCGGCCUGCGCGGAAGAUGUAACGGGGCUAAACCAUGCACCGAAGCUGCGGCAGCGACGCUGAUGCGUUGUUGGGUAGGGGAGCGUUCUGUAAGCCUGUGAAGGUGUGCUGUGAGGCAUGCUGGAGGUAUCAGAAGUGCGAAUGCUGACAUAAGUAACGAUAAAGCGGGUGAAAAGCCCGCUCGCCGGAAGACCAAGGGUUCCUGUCCAACGUUAAUCGGGGCAGGGUGAGUCGACCCCUAAGGCGAGGCCGAAAGGCGUAGUCGAUGGGAAACAGGUUAAUAUUCCUGUACUUGGUGUUACUGCGAAGGGGGGACGGAGAAGGCUAUGUUGGCCGGGCGACGGUUGUCCCGGUUUAAGCGUGUAGGCUGGUUUUCCAGGCAAAUCCGGAAAAUCAAGGCUGAGGCGUGAUGACGAGGCACUACGGUGCUGAAGCAACAAAUGCCCUGCUUCCAGGAAAAGCCUCUAAGCAUCAGGUAACAUCAAAUCGUACCCCAAACCGACACAGGUGGUCAGGUAGAGAAUACCAAGGCGCUUGAGAGAACUCGGGUGAAGGAACUAGGCAAAAUGGUGCCGUAACUUCGGGAGAAGGCACGCUGAUAUGUAGGUGAAGCGACUUGCUCGUGGAGCUGAAAUCAGUCGAAGAUACCAGCUGGCUGCAACUGUUUAUUAAAAACACAGCACUGUGCAAACACGAAAGUGGACGUAUACGGUGUGACGCCUGCCCGGUGCCGGAAGGUUAAUUGAUGGGGUCAGCGCAAGCGAAGCUCUUGAUCGAAGCCCCGGUAAACGGCGGCCGUAACUAUAACGGUCCUAAGGUAGCGAAAUUCCUUGUCGGGUAAGUUCCGACCUGCACGAAUGGCGUAAUGAUGGCCAGGCUGUCUCCACCCGAGACUCAGUGAAAUUGAACUCGCUGUGAAGAUGCAGUGUACCCGCGGCAAGACGGAAAGACCCCGUGAACCUUUACUAUAGCUUGACACUGAACAUUGAGCCUUGAUGUGUAGGAUAGGUGGGAGGCUUUGAAGUGUGGACGCCAGUCUGCAUGGAGCCGACCUUGAAAUACCACCCUUUAAUGUUUGAUGUUCUAACGUUGACCCGUAAUCCGGGUUGCGGACAGUGUCUGGUGGGUAGUUUGACUGGGGCGGUCUCCUCCUAAAGAGUAACGGAGGAGCACGAAGGUUGGCUAAUCCUGGUCGGACAUCAGGAGGUUAGUGCAAUGGCAUAAGCCAGCUUGACUGCGAGCGUGACGGCGCGAGCAGGUGCGAAAGCAGGUCAUAGUGAUCCGGUGGUUCUGAAUGGAAGGGCCAUCGCUCAACGGAUAAAAGGUACUCCGGGGAUAACAGGCUGAUACCGCCCAAGAGUUCAUAUCGACGGCGGUGUUUGGCACCUCGAUGUCGGCUCAUCACAUCCUGGGGCUGAAGUAGGUCCCAAGGGUAUGGC
rnacentral:rRNA from 1 species